CAGCCGCCGCGGUAAUACGGAGGGUGCAAGCGUUAAUCGGAAUUACUGGGCGUAAAGCGCACGUAGGCGGCUUGGUAAGUUAGAGGUGAAAGCCCGGAGCUCAACUCCGGAAUUGCCUUUAAGACUGCCGAGCUAGUAGGUGAGAGAGGUAAGUGGAAUUCCGAGUGUAGAGGUGAAAUUCGUAGAUAUUCGGAAGAACACCAGUGGCGAAGGCGGCUUACUGGCUCAUUCUAGACGCUGAGGUGCGAAAGCGUGGGGAGCAAACAGGAUUAGAUACCCCCGUAGUCCCUGUCUCUUAUAC
rnacentral:rRNA from 1 species